rfam:Oryza glumipatula chromosome 2, whole genome shotgun sequence.
AAUGUAUGACACCGUUGACUUUUUAUCCAACAUUUGACCAUUCGUCUUAUUUAAAAAAUUUAUAUAAUUAUCAUUUAUUUUAUUGUGACUUGAUUCAUCAUCAAAUAUUUUUUAAGCAUGACAUAAAUAUUUUCAUAUUUGCAUAUAAAUUUUGAAUAAGACGAAUGGUCAAACGUUGGAUUAAAAAGUCAAUGGCGUCAUACAUU